UUUCUUUACCAUUAAUACAAAAUUCAUACAAGGAAUUUAAUAAAUUGCUAAUCUCAGCAACAACUCUAGAUAUGAAUCUCUUGCUUCCUAUUCCCAUAUGUUACGCGAAUUGAUAAAAAAAAAAAUGGCAAAAAUCAAAUUAAUGUAGAGUUUCCGCCGUCCAAACUUCAUUUCUUCCCUCAAAUCUUAUGUUACGGUUACAAAAUUCGUAUAAAUAUAUUCAAAGUUUGAAGAAAUUGAGCUCUCAAUUGUUUCAGUUUUACCCAUAACCCA
rnacentral:lncRNA from 1 species